AGGCGGCAGCGCGUGGACGGCCGGGCGAGCUACUUAGCUUAUCUGAAACCAUAUCCAGAACAGUGAAAGCAUAUGCAAGCAUGCAUAUGCAUCGAUCGAUCGAUAUAUACGUAUGCCCAAAUUAAAGCACGGCUAGCUCCUCCCCCGGCAGGCGAACGGCCGGCGAGCUCCUCCCCAGGCGCGCGGACGGCCGGCGGGCUCCACCCCCGCGCGCGGACGGCCGGCGGGCUCCACCCCCGCGCGCGGACGCCGGCGAGCUCCUCUCCCGGCGCGCGUACGGCAGGCGAGCUCCAUACCCGCGCGCCGACGCUGGCGAGCUCCUCCCCGGCGCGCGGACGGCAGGCGAGCUCCUCCCCCACGCACGGACCGCCGGCGAGCUCGCGGGACAGCCAGCGGGCUCCUCAACCGGCAGGCGGACGGCCGGCGGGCUCCUCUCCCGCGCGCGGACGCCGGCGAGCUCCUCCCCUUGCGCACGGACGGCCGGCGAGCUCGCGGGACGGCCAGCGAGCUCCUCCCCCGCGCACGGCCGCCCACGAGCUCCUCACCCGGCAGGCGGACGGCCGGCGGGCUCCUCCCCCGCGCGCGGACGCCGGUGAGCUCCUCCCCAUGCGCACGGCCGGCCGGCGAGAUCCUCCCCCGAGCGUGGACGGCCGGCGAGCUCCUACCCCGUGCGUCGUCGCCGCCCUGCUUCUACUGUUGGAAGGUGGGAGGAGUGGAAAAGAUGAGAGGGGGGGGGGGAGAUAAGCGACACGUCGACGACACGCGGGGCGAAGACUGGGUCAACACCGCCACGUGGGUGCCACGUCAGCCAAAACCGCUUCUAAAACCACCCAAGGAUAUAGUUUGCAUCGGUUUUGAUAGUUGGAGGAGUCAAUAUACCCGGUUUUGUGGUUGGAGGUCAUCAAUCAUACUCGGACCAUAGUUGAGGGAGUCAAAGUAUACUUUUUCCUAUUUAUGUGUGAAAGAAAUUAAGUCUGUAUUUCGUCAUGUUGGUACUUGUUAGGCUGCUACUAUCAGGUUCUCAAGCAGUGCAGGGGUGAGAGUAGAAGCACCACCUCGUUCCGCACUUCAGCUCGCGCAGGGGCAGUUCAGUGGCUGCUUUCCCGGCUUCUCCCUGACAAAGAAAUAUUUUGCUAUGUUAUCUGGAUUAUGAUCCCAAAAGAAGCUCUUUUGUUGAUCUUGGUUUGUGUAAUUAAAUUUUGCUCGGCCAUAAGUAUGUAAACAAAACCAAAUUCAUGUUACAUACUCAGCAUUUUGUUAUCGACAUUGUCUUUUAUCUUCUAA